rnacentral:rRNA from 1 species
AACUAACGCUGGCGGCGUGCCUAACACAUGCAAGUCGUACGAGAAAGCCGGCUUCGGCUGGUGAGUAAAGUGGCGCACGGGUGAGUAACGCGUGGAUAAUCUGCCCUUAAGUGUGGAAUAACGUACCGAAAGGUGCGCUAAUACCGCAUAAUGCCUGGCAACACAAGUUGUCCGGCCAAAGAAGGCCUCUGUUUACAAGCUUUCGCUUCAGGAUGAGUCCGCGUACCAUUAGCUUGUUGGUGGGGUAAUGGCCUACCAAGGCUGCGAUGGUUAGCUGGUCUGAGAGGAUGAUCAGCCACACUGGAACUGAGACACGGUCCAGACUCCUACGGGAGGCAGCAGUGAGGAAUAUUGCGCAAUGGGGGCAACCCUGACGCAGCAACGCCGCGUGAGUGAGGAAGGUUUUCGGACUGUAAAGCUCUGUCGAGCGGGAAGAAGUGUACCAUGGCUAAUAUCCAUGAUAUUUGACGUACCGCUAGAGG